GUGCCAGCAGCCGCGGUAAUACGUAGGGCGCAAGCGUUGUCCGGAAUUACUGGGCGUAAAGGGCGCGUAGGCGGCCUGUUAAGUCGGACGUGAAAUCCCUCGGCUCAACCGGGGAACUGCGUCCGAUACUGGCGGGCUUGAACUCGGGAGAGGGAUGUGGAAUUCCAGGUGUAGCGGUGAAAUGCGUAGAUAUCUGGAGGAACACCGGUGGCGAAGGCGGCGUCCUGGACCGACAUUGACGCUGAGGCGCGAAAGCCAGGGGAGCAAACGGGAUUAGAAACCCCCGUAGUCC
rnacentral:rRNA from 1 species